rnacentral:rRNA from 1 species
UCGGGAAUUUUGGGCAAUGGGCGAAAGCCUGACCCAGCAACGCCGCGUGAAUGAUGAAGUAUUUCGGUAUGUAAACUUCGUAAGAAUAGGAAGAAUAAAUGACGGUACUAUUUGUAAGGUCCGGCUAACUACGUGCCAGCAGCCGCGGUAAUACGUAGGGACCAAGCGUUGUUCGGAUUUACUGGGCGUAAAGGGCGCGUAGGCGGUGUGUCAAGUCAGUUGUGAAAUCUCCGAGCUUAACUCGGAACGGUCAACUGAUACUGUCACACUAGAGUACAGAAGGGGCAAUCGGAAUUCUUGGUGUAGCGGUGAAAUGCGUAGAUAUCAAGAGGAACACCUGAGGCGAAGGCGGGUUGCUGGGCUGAUACUGACGCUGAGGCGCGAAAGCUAGGGUAGCAAACGGGAUUAGAUACCCCCGUAGUCCCUGAGCGGGCUGGCAAGGCGCAU